UCAUUACCUGAUUAAGACGAAUUCACCCACAAACGGACAACACAGAAUAAUUAACAGAUACAUAAAUAAACAGAUAGACAUUUCAUUACCUGAGUAAGACGAAUUCACCCACAAACGGACUUCAUACACUCCUACCCACAAACUGCAGCACAGUUAAUACCAACACAAAACUCCAGUAACCAAAGGUGAAAGGCAUCUGGAUAUGAAACACACAUCUCUGACGUACGUUGGAUAUUUCUGUUUUCCUCUCAGUGAAUAUCAGAAGUCGUUUUCGAAGGAUGGUGCCACAAUUCUAAUAUCAUCUCAUUAAAACAUUAAUUACGUAAAUAUCAGUAACUGUUACACUUUCACACAUUUCACUAUUAGAAGGAAAACCUUAUUUAUAAAAUUAGUUAGGUUAGUCGGUGGUAAAUUAUACUCGAUCAAGAGUGUACUUGUAUGAGCAUGUUCUCCUUGCCAAUUUGUCGAUUCUGUAUUGAAGGAUUCUUAAUCUGUGGUAGUAAGGUUGCAAGCAUAAAGUUGUUGAAUCCAAACAGCUUUUAUAAAUAAUAGCCAUGUCCAUACUCCGGCAAAUUGGCAAAAAGCAUUUCGAAUUAGCAACUUAUUGGUUACCUUCUUUGGCAACAUUUGGGGCUGCUAGUUCUCUAGGAUUGCUAUAUAUUACAGACUGGAAGGUAGUUCUCCAGUAUGUACCCUAUUAUAGUGGAAAAUUCAAGACAGAAGAAUAAUAUGAUGGAAUGUGUAGUAUAUUUUGAUUAAGAAGCCACUUACAAGUUGGCCAAUUUCCAAGAGUUUCAGAAAACAUUUUGGAUGGGAGCAGUUAAUUGGUGAACCACACUGGAAAGAGACUAUAUUGAUAGUAGUAAUGUAAAAAUGUUAUGGAUAUGUAAAAUGUGCAUGUUUACACCUGUUUUAUAAGUGAAAAUAUAGCCUUACUAAUUGAAACUUU